rnacentral:snRNA from 1 species
UUACCUGCCUGGGGAGAUCCUGCAGGAUAAGACUCCUCCACUGCAUGUCAGAUGUACUUGUCCCUGUGAUUUUCCCAAAGGAAGGAAACACGAGUACACAGCUUGUGGUAGUGGGGACUGUGAUCCCUAUCUCCUUU